AUAUUGGACAUUUAAAGACAAAUGUUAGUGACUGUUUUGCACUGCAAUAAUACUGAAACAAAAUAAGUUAACAAGAAUGCCAUGAAUAGAAGAGCAAAUGUCCUCUUCUCAAACUAAUUGAAAAGAUACAACAUUGUGGAUUUCUUGAGGCUUUUAAAUGUGUUUGAGAAUCAAACUCCAUCAUUGCUCUAUCUUAAUGGCAGGGCACAUUUUUUUUGUGAUAUCCAUAACGUCAAUUUAAAUACUUGCUAGCAUCUGAUAUGUCAGACAUGCAUGCUUUCUGCUUUGCGAAGGUACACCUGUAUAGACAACCACCUGUUAAAUAUUUGUCCUACCUCCCCCUCUUAUUUUUAGGCACAGUUUUACAGGCCACUUUUUUUUAAAUAAUGCGUCUGGGACUAAUUUAUAGAGCAGAAUGGUUGUAUUCUGCUCUGGCAGUGAGGCAAUUAAGUGAUUAGCACUUCCACAAUUACACAAUGGAACAGAUGGCACGAUAAAGUACCCAACAGAAAAUUAUCUUGAUCCAUAGUUGUGGCAACACAGCUCAGAAAGAGGUGGGGAGCUAAAUUCUGCUGUUUAACAAACCUCAGUUCUUGUCGGAUAUACACAUGAAUGGAAAUACGCAUUGAAUUCGGAGAGAUGUAUACAGAAUAUAUAUUUAAAGUAGAAAUUCUUUAUAAAGUGAAAUCCCAUUCAUAACAAGAACGCUGCAGUCCUACAAAAACAUUAGAGACAGACAAUUGUGCAAAUUAUAGAUAAAGCAAACACCAUUUGAAUCUCGUUGAUCUGACAUUGAAAGUCAGUUUGUGUUUUCUCUUCAGCCGUUGCUUGUUGAUCCCCGAACUCUGCCCCUCCAUGUAUUCAUUUUUUAAUCUUCUCUUUUGAUUGCAGAUGAACUCUGCAUUUGCUUUAUCGUUCAUCCAAUUGAUGCAUUUAUCUGAACUAGCAUGGUCACAACCAAAUCUGAUUGUCAGUUUAAGAUAGAGAUGAGGAGGAUUACUUCUUGUGAACCUGGGGAUUUAGUAUCCCGGAGAACCAUUGAGACUGAGCUGUUAAAUUGAUUCAAAGCUGAGACAGACAUACUUUUGAACAAUGAGGGGUGGGCAGGAGGUGGGAUGGUCAAGGUUUAUGGGGACAGAAGUGACAGCCACAUCAGCUCUGCUCCUACUGAAUAGUGGAGCAGGUAUGAGAGACUGUAUGAACUCCUCCUCCUAUGUCCCAUGAGAUCCAUGCCUCUUGAGUCAAGAAUGUUUUUGUCUGGACACCAACAAAGGUUGGAAUGAACAAAGUUCAGUACUUCUCACCAGUUGCCAUUAUUAAUGAAACUUGUCCUUGCGCUGCAGGCAGUAAACUCAUCUGCUUCACUGCAAAUUUAAACAUUCUAUACCCUCAAUUAAGUUCUUCGCAACCCUCACUUUUGAAUUCAUUUGGUUUAGUUUAAUUCAGAGAUACAGCAUGGAAAAACAACCUUUAGCCAUCAAGUCCAGGCAGGCCAUUGAUCACCCAUACACACUAGUUCUAUGUUAUCACGUUCAUUCCCUUGACACUGAGGGCAAUUUACAGAGGCCAAUUUACGAACCUGCAUGUCUUUGAAAUGUGGGAGGAAACCGGACCACCCACGUGGUCACAGGGAGAACAUGCGAACUCCACACAGACAGCACCCGAGUUUGGGAUCAAACCCAGAUCUCUGGCGCUGCGAGGCAGCAGCACUGAUGUGCCGCCACUAAAUUUAAAAACGAGUGUCCCAUUGCAAUGAUUCAGAGUUAUUACUUGUUGAAGCUUGACAACGGUUGUGAGUGGGCAAGUACUGAUUACAAAACUUGACGUAAUUACGUUAAAUCAUAACGUAAUGAAGAAACAGAAACUGAAUAGGGCCAAUCGAAACAGCCGCGUUUUAAUGUCAAAGCGAUAUAUAUUGUCACAAUGUUCAUGGUAUACAUUAAUCAGUUUUAAAUACCUUUCUAAUAUUGACAUUUGUAUAAAACAACAUGUGACUGAUGCUGAAUGUGCCAAUGUUUCCUGCAGUUAUAUUGCUAUAGAUUCACAAGACUACAGCUCUCAGAAUGAUUGGACAUACUUGUUCACAAUUUUCUCCAAUAAAGAAGCCAGGGGCAACAUCUCUGCUGGACGCUGGUUAUUUAACACAUACCUUCAUUUUUUUUGUGCCCCUCCCAGGCAGUGUGAUGGAGGAGGUCUGAUACAUUGAAAGUCAUGUUUUACCAAAAGAUACAAAACAUUGCUGUUCGAACAUUCAGUGCCAACUAAAAUAAACGCCUUUGAGGCACAGUGGACUGUCAACAACUGUCACUUGCUUUGAUCAACAGCGUCUCAAUGACAGCUUUAGUCUACUUCCCUGCUAUUUUCCCAUCACCGAAUAUAAACCCCCCACAAGCAGGGAUAGGAAAGAAAGAGUCAGAUUUACGAUCGCUGUGGAAAUAAACGGAGCCUCAAUAAAGCAUUCACUGGACGCUGAUCAUUCACUUUAAAAUCAGUAAUUGCUUUUAGAAAUAUCACAGUGUUCAGCAGAGUUUAUCUUUCACAUCAGUUGUUUCUAUCCUUUGUCCAGUAUGUACUAUAUCAUUAAGUGGAUGUAUUUCCUCAACUUUUAUAGUUCAACUGAUUUUUAUUUGUCUACAUAAUAGUAGGUUACAAAAUGAAAGUGCAAUAAUCCACAUCAAGGACGGAGAUAUUAAAAAGGCGACUUCAGUGGAAUUUGUGGCGUUAAAUAUUACUAAUUCUAAAUUAAAUAUAUCAUAUUUCUGUUACAUUUUUGUGAAUACUAACAUAUAAUACCUGGAAAUUACAGACAGGGUUUGUAUGGAUUAAACAACGGGAAGGAUGAAUGAUUUAUUUAUUUGCUAUCUUCUGAACAGACAGCAGUAUCCUUCAUAUAUUGUCAAGCAAAUCGAUAUCCAAAAAGUUGCCCGACUUCCCAAGAAGGAAUUAGUUUAGUUUAGUUCAGUUUAGUUUAGUUUAGUUUAGUUUAGAUGCAGUGUGUAAACAGGGCCUUCGGCCACAGAGUCCACACCAACCAUCAAUCACCAUUACACUAGUUCUAGGUUAUCCCACAUUCGCAUACUACACACCAGGGUCAAUUUACAAAAGCCAAUCAACCUACAAACCUGGAAUGUGGGAGGAAGCCAGAGUACCCUGCAAAAACCAACGUGUUCUCAAGGAGAACGUACAAACUCCACACAGUCUGCAUCUUUGGUUGAGAUCAAACCGGGGCUCCGCCAUUGUGAGGUAGCAACUCUACCGCUCCGCCACAAUAGAAUGGGGUGAAUCCCCUCCACCGCCUCUAGUUUGUUGUUGUGGAGGAUUGUGAACCAGACUAAUAACAGUACAGGGAAGAAGAGGUAUGAUUGGGGGGAAAAUAACAUUAGUUAAUUAUUAGAAUUGAAAGGCCAGAAAUGAGAUAUGAUGGGUGAGGUAUAGUUGAUUUGAUAUGUAUUUUAACCGUAUUGAGCUUUGUCCAAAGAAUGUAAAGAAUGGACAUACAGUAAAUUCCACAAAACUCACAAGGAAACAAGAAACAUUAUGCUGUUCCAGUUCCAAAGUGAAUCUAAUAUGGUCAUCAGGUUCAGAUCAUGAAUGAGCUGUCACUUUAGAAAAAAAAGUUUAUACACAUGGAAUAAAUAUGAAAUCGAGUAGGAACUGAACAAACUCAACCAUCAUAUCGGCUUCAUAGCCUUUCAAUUCUAAUUACUAACUAUUGCUAAGAUAAAAGCGAACAAUUGCUGCAACCAUGGUUACAGGAUGCUCUGAUGCCAUCACGUGGUCAGAUUAAACUGUAAUUAUACGGCUCCAGCAAUGGAGGAAGCUGAUCCUCUGCGGAGGGAAGGAAUAGUGGAAAUCUCAACUCGUGUUCAAUUCUUCCUCACUAAAGAAGCAAACACACAGAACAAAAGAAAAACAGACACUUGGCACAGGUUCACUGCAGGAAUUUUGCUGACAGGUAGGUUCUCCUGCCCUGUUUCUGAUUGGCCUCCCCAGAUACAGGUACGCCUGCAGGUUCCAGGCAACAGUUAUUGCAUAUCCCAUAUCGUCCCUGAGAAGGCGAAGGUUUAGCCAUUGGAGCAUUGCAGACCUUGUGAAGAAAGUACUGCAUUGGCACUGUUAAACAGAGAGUAUAUUGCAGACAGUUGAGAAGAUUUUGGCUAUCAGGAUAAGUUAUCAUGGCCUUCUGGAUGGUUUGCGGGUGUCAUUGUAGGAUGCAGAGCCUCUGAUUGUAGCCACAAUAAUAAAGUGGUUGGUCCUGGUUGAGUAUCUGGUCAAUGGUGACACUCAGGGUCGAUUUUGGGAGACUCACCAUUAGUAAGGCCAUUGAAUACCAGAUAGGUUGUUGUAAAUGAUUCUUACAGAUAGGUUUGUGACAACAGGCCCAGAACCAAAACAGUUGACAUGGCACACAAUAUCCCUUCAGUACCAUUUUACAAUUCCGUUUAUAAACUGUAUAUAUGUAUGUUUGAGUGCGUGCAUAUGCAUGUAUAUAUGUAUGUGUGUAUGUGGCUUAUGUAUGGAUAUAUGGAUGCAUGUAUCUGUUUGUGUAUGUGUAUAUAUAUAUAUAUUGAGAUGAGAUAAAGUUUGUGAAUUUAUUGAUGAGUAGCGGAGAGGGGGUAGGAAUAAGUGAAUAUUUCCUCCUACUCCUUUUCGAACAUGUAAGAUUUAAUUUGUGAUGUUUAUUCAAUGAGUUAUUCAAUGAGUUGAGUAUAGUUUUUUGUUCAUUUCAUGUUAUUGUUAUUUUGCUUUGUUUUUAACUUUUUUUGCUUUACAUGUUUGAAAUAAAAUAUAUACUAAUACUACUACUACUAAAGCAUCUGAAGACCUCGGGAGUUCCCUUUCUUAUUUAAUAGGUUCACCUGUGCGUUAAAACUGGAUUUUAUACAUGCAGUCACACCGUCCCUUUUCCCCCAAUACAGGGUCUUAGAAGCGAGGUCCAACCUUUCUAGAUCCAUCUUAUUAAAUUGAGCCUCUACUAUGCUGUCCAAGUGUUCACUAUCCACAAUGUUUUCCAAUUAUUCACAUAUUUUCUGACUUAGACCUUUUGUCAGUCAAUGAAAAUAAACCAGAUACCUGGUAGUGGUUGUGGUAGACAGAAAAUUUAAGGAUUUGUUGCCAGGGUUCAUCAUUAAUUCUCUCAUUUGUCAGUGUAAGAAUGGAGAUUUUAACUAUUAAAAAGUCAAUGUGUUUCUUUACCACGAGGAAUGGUUGGUGUUUCAAACGGGAUCAACUCAUCUUACAAAAUAGAUGGGAAUAAAUAACUUUGCACAGGAGAAAAAAAAAAUUAGUAUAAAAUAUGUUUUCUAUAACUUAACUAGUGUGCUAACUAGAUUAGUGCAUUAACAGCUAGAUAAUCAAAACUAAACUAGUCUGGCAAAUCCAUUCAAUAACAGCUAACCCUAAAGAUUGUAGCUACAGUUGAAAAGGUUAUUUUAAGUGGACCAAUUAUUGAAAUAAAAUGACAAAUAUUUUUGUGGUUGCAAUUUCAAAAAAAUAACAUGUCAUUUUAAAUUGUACAAAUGUGUAAUCAUAUUGAAAGCGGAAUUCAAUGAUACAAUCACACUGAUAAAAAUCUCAGAAUAAGAGCGCAAUAAAUCUCUGGUUCAUAGUAAAACAUAGGCAGGAAAUGUCUUCAUAUGAUGAUAUUAAUCAUUAGCCAGGAAACGAGUAGCCUGCAGAUACCCAGAAUUUAACCUACACCUGGAGCAUAAUAUUGAUUGAACACAUUGGGCACUUGUUCAAGAAGACACUGAUGUUCCUUAUUAUUAGAACAUUGCAAAACUUUCCCUGCCUAAUGUCAAGCCUUCAUCAUGAACAAUGGCAACUUCGAUAAGAUACAAGCAAUAAUAGACAUGCAUAAUCUCACUACAUUCCUUAAACAAGAGGUACCAUACUCUCGGAGACGAGAAACAUUGUAGGAGAGAGGGCACAAAGUGUACCUCCACUAUUUUCACACUCUUCCCAUGUGCACAGAUUUACACAAAUUCAUACUUGAACAAAAGAGGCACAGCAUAACCUAUGCAUUGGCAGUACAGGAAGACAGACGUUGCAGUAAUUACUUGUUCUAUGUAAAAAUAAGAGCCAAUUGGUUGCAAUAAAAUCCUAAGCAGAUACAAAACUGAUUUACCUUAUCUAAUAGAUAAGGUAAC